rnacentral:rRNA from 1 species
GAUGAACGCUGGCGGCGUGCCUAAUACAUGCAAGUCGAGCGAACAGACGAGGAGCUUGCUCCUCUGACGUUAGCGGCGGACGGGCGAGUAACACGUGGAUAACCUACCUAUAAGACUGGGAUAACUUCGGGAAACCGGAGCUAAUACCGGAUAAUAUAUUGAACCGCAUGGUUCAAUAGUGAAAGACGGUUUUGCUGUCACUUAUAGAUGGAUCCGCGCCGCAUUAGCUAGUUGGUAAGGUAACGGCUUACCAAGGCAACGAUGCGUAGCCGACCUGAGAGGGUGAUCGGCCACACUGGAACUGAGACACGGUCCAGACUCCUACGGGAGGCAGCAGUAGGGAAUCUUCCGCAAUGGGCGAAAGCUUGACGGAGCAACGCCGCGUGAGUGAUGAAGGUCUUCGGAUCGUAAAACUCUGUUAUUAGGGAAGAACAAAUGUGUAAGUAACUAUGCACGUCUUGACGGUACCUAAUCAGAAAGCCACGGCUAACUACGUG